CCUACGGGAGGCAGCAGUAGGGAAUCUUCCGCAAUGGACGAAAGUCUGACGGAGCAACGCCGCGUGAGCGAUGAAGGCCUUCGGGUCGUAAAGCUCUGUUGUUAGGGAAGAACAAGUAUCGGAGUAACUGCCGGUACCUUGACGGUACCUGACCAGAAAGCCACGGCUAACUACGUGCCAGCAGCCGCGGUAAU
rnacentral:rRNA from 1 species